UAGAGUUUGAUCCUGGCUCAGGACUAACGCUGGCGGUAUGCCUUAGACAUGCAAGUCGAACGAGUUUCCGGGCUUGCUCGGAAAUUAGUGGCGAACGGCUGAGUAACGCGUAGGUGACCUACCCCGUAGUGUGGAAUAACUGCCCGAAAGGGUAGCUAAUACCGCAUGUUGAGCCGACAUCAAUGUCGUCUCCAAAGCAGAAAUGCGCUAUGGGCGGGGCCUGCGUUCGAUUAGCUAGUUGGUGGGGUAAUGGCUCACCAAGGCGACGAUCGAUAGGUGGUCUGAGAGGACGAUCACCCAGACUGGGACUGAGACACGGCCCAGACUCCUACGGGAGGCAGCAGUCGGGAAUUUUGCGCAAUGGGGGAAACCCUGACGCAGCAAUACCGCGUGUGGGAUGAAGGCCUUCGGGUCGUAAACCACUUUUUUCGGGGACGAUAAUGACGGUACCCGAAGAAUAAGCCACGGCUAACUACGUGCCAGCAGCCGCGGUAAUACGUAGGUGGCAAGCGUUGUCCGGAUUUACUGGGCGUAAAGCGCGCGCAGGCGGUGAAUGAAGUCGAAAGUGAAAGCCCCGAGCUCAACUCGGGAACUGCUUUCGAAACCAGUUCACUUGAAGGUGGAAGAGGGAAGUGGAAUUCCGAGUGUAGCGGUGGAAUGCGUAGAUAUUCGGAGGAACACCAGAGGCGAAGGCGACUUCCUGGUCCAAUCUUGACGCUGAGGCGCGAAAGCUAGGGGAGCAAACAGGAUUAGAUAUCCUGGUAGUCCUAGCUGUAAACGAUGGAUACUAGGUGUUGGAGGUUUUAACCCCUUCGGCGCCGCAGCUAACGCAUUAAGUAUCCCGCCUGGGGAGUACGCACGCAAGUGUGAAACUCAAAGGAAUUGACGGGGGCCCGCACAAGCGGUGGAGUAUGUGGUUUAAUUCGAUGCAACGCGAAGAACCUUACCAGGGUUUGACAUCCUGCGAAUCUCUUGGAAACGAGAGAGUGCCUUCGGGAACGCAGUGACAGGUGGUGCAUGGCUGUCGUCAGCUCGUGUCGUGAGAUGUUGGGUUAAGUCCCGCAACGAGCGCAACCCACGUCGUUAGUUGCCAGCAUUUAGUUGGGCACUCUAGCGAGACCGCCGGUGAUAAACCGGAGGAAGGUGUGGAUGACGUCAAGUCAUCAUGCCCCUUACAUCCUGGGCUACACACGUACUACAAUGCUACGGACAAAGGGCAGCAAGCUCGCGAGAGUUAGCAAAUCCCAUAAACCGUGGCUCAGUUCAGAUCGUAGGCUGCAACUCGCCUACGUGAAGGAGGAAUCGCUAGUAAUCGCAGGUCAGCAUACUGCGGUGAAUACGUUCCCGGGCCUUGUACACACCGCCCGUCACACCAUGGAAGUUGGCCACGCCCGAAGCCGUUACUCCAACCCUUGUGGAGGAGGAUGUCGAAGGUGGGGCUGAUGACUGGGGUGAAGUCGUAACAAGGUAACCGUA
rnacentral:rRNA from 1 species